CUCGUGUUGUGAAAUGUUGGUUAAGUCCCGCAACGAGCGCAACCCUUAUCCUUUGUUGCCAGCGAGUAAUGUCGGGAACUCAAAGGAGACUGCCGGUGAUAAACCGGAGGAAGGUGGGGAUGACGUCAAGUCAUCAUGGCCCUUACGAGUAGGGCUACACACGUGCUACAAUGGCAUGUACAAAGAGAAGCGAACUCGCGAGAGCAAGCGGACCUCAUAAAGUAUGUCGUAGUCCGGAUUGGAGUCUGCAACUCGACUCCAUGAAGUCGGAAUCGCUAGUAAUCGUAGAUCAGAAUGCUACGGUGAAUACGUUCCCGGGCCUU
rnacentral:rRNA from 1 species